AACUCUACCCACAAAACAUAAAUAUAAUGGAACAAAAGUAAAAGAGCGAGGAAGAAACCCCAAAUUGGGGUGUAAAGCUGAAGUCACAGCAUCAAGCCUCCUAUUAUCACACAUCUAGAAGGGAAUAUGAAACAAAUAGCAAAUUUUAGAUAACCAAAUUCAAUGCUAGGAAAUAUACAAAAACUAUUCGAUUUUGUAUUGUUUUGGGGCAAACAUGACUAUACAAAAUUACAUGUUGGCUACAUGAACUGGAAACUGAGACCGGAGCAUUUUAGCUAAUUCAACACACCUGCAAAGCACCAAACAAAACCAAGCAAUAUAUUCGAAGUUGAUUGAAUUAGUUUCCGUAUCACAUUCCCCACAUAUGAUGUCAAGAAAGUACCUCAAGUUCUCUAACUAGUUCUUCCUUAAAAUCUCAAAAUCACACCAUUAAAGCAGCAAACUAUCAAAAAGAAAAAAAAAAAAAAAAAAAAAAAAUUUUGAAAACCAAUGGUACUAACAAUAAAUUAGGCCUAAGAUUUGCUAUGCUUAUCACUCGACUGGACAUUCUAUUUACAGGCCUAUAAAGCCAGGAAAUUAUCUAUUGAAACAUCUAAACAAUGGAAAGCUCCACUAUUUUGCUCUGAAAAGUAAUAGACAUCAAACAACAAUUGGAUAUCUUAGUAUGAAAACCAGAGCAAUGACAAUCACCCAAAAAGAAAGAGCUGCCUGACAAAGUUUCCUAAUUCCGAAAUUUACCAGCCAUCAACUUAUAUAUAUCUUGGUGCAGCUAAUAUUUUGUUGUCAAGGUCGAUUCAUACGUCCAGCAUUUU